rnacentral:rRNA from 1 species
AAGGCUGAAACUUAAAGGAAUUGGCGGGGGAGUACCACAACCGGUGGAGCCUGCGGUUUAAUUGGAUACAACGCCGGGAAUCUUACCGGAGGGGACAGCAGUAUGAAGGCCAGGCUAAAGACCUUGCCAGAUCAGCUGAGAGGAGGUGCAUGGCCGUCGCCAGUUCGUACCGUGAGGCAUCCUGUUUAGUCAGGCAACGAUCGAGACCCGCAGUCUUAUUUGCCAGCAUGCCCUUUGGGGUGUAUGGGUACAAUAAGACGACCGCCAGCGCUAAGCUGGAGGAAGGAGCGGGCUACGGUAGGUCAGCAUGCCCCGAAUCCUCCGGGAUACACGCGGGCUACAAUGGUCAGGACAAAAGGUACCGACCUCGAAAGAGUGAGGUAAUCCACAAACCUGAUCUCAGUCCGGAUCGAAGGCUGCAACUCGCCUUCGUGAAGAUGGAAUCGGUAGUAAUCGUGACUCAAAAUGUCACGGUGAAUAUGUCCCUGCUCCUUGCACUCAC